GGGUAGUUCUACUAGGUCAUUGCCUUAGAGUAAUUAUUUGUGAAGGAAUUUGUUGAAAUCAUGCUAAACUUGACAUGUUUGAUGUGAGUAAAGCUACCCAUUCUGUUUUAGGGUUUUAUGAUGAUGCUUUGUGGUAUGUGUAUGCUGAAAUUGUUGAUGGAAAACUGGUAGAGAUGAUGGGGAUAGUUAACUCAGGGUGAAAUGUGAGAAUGACAAUGUUGUAGGUAGAAAAGUGUGAGAUUUUGAG
rnacentral:lncRNA from 1 species